CUUGCAGCCCAUGGCAUUUAAUUAGGGGGGACGGUUUUAUACAUUUGUUAGAUAAUUACACUACUUGACACAGAUAAUGACAUGAUACAGCAAUGGAUAAACCAAAAGGGCCUAGCUUAUGGAUACAAACUAACGAGGAACAAAUAAGUAGGAUGUUGGCUACAGAUGUCAACAACUGUAUGUGGGCCUCUGCUUCUGGGGGAACUCGGAAUGGGCAGUCUACUUCUUAGCAGGAACCACAUUUGAGUAAACGAUUUCCUUGUAUUUAAAUCAUGCUUGAUCAUCACUUAUUAAUUAGGCUUGCUCUGGGGAACCCCCUGGCUCAAAAAAGGUUAAUUCCGCCCCCGAAUAGUAUAUGCAUUUGAUCGUUGACUCCCUUGACGCUUUCUGAAAGCCUGUUAGUAUUUAUGCUGCAUAACACAUCCGCCCCAUCAUCCACACGCUCCAUGUCUGGAACUCGCAAACAAAGUCGUUAAAAGGCUUUAAGAUAACGAACAGCACUUAUACAUUGUGCUUCCAUCUCCAGCAUCGUCUUAAGCCAACUUGUUCAAAAGGUAUCUUUAUAUCAAUGUUCCAACAGACAUUUCAAAUUCCGUGCUUUCACGAGGUGACAUUUCCUCGAGGAACCGGUAAUUUUCUAUGAGAGGUGGGAUUGAACCGACAACCCCUGCCUGAUAACACGUCGCACUGUACCGAGAUGUCGUGUAGGCUGCCUUGAUCCUCUUAAAGUUGAUACGGUGCGUCUAGAACCGCCGUAGUCUGGUUUGGUCCAUGACUCAGGUCUGCCACACGGAGAGGGGACUAUGAAAAUCCUCUGGUUUGGAGCGGACCAUGAAGCUGUAUCGUGUUUCCCCACAAAUGGAUGCCAUGGGAUUACACCGUCUCUUGAUGUGACAUCGACCACACAGUCUCUCAUGUCGGUCUUUUUAACCGGCCCCGAAACACUCACAAAUAAGUGAGUAGCAGGGUCCUCAAGCAAGCCAUUGUUGUUAUAUCUGCCAUUUACUAGAAGAUAUUUCCAUCCGUCACACCACUGUAGCUUUGCAGUGAGCUGAUGUCUGUAGUAAACAGUUCAGCCAGCCAUUUGGUCCUACAUAACAAUGUCAAUCAGAGACUAAAACUCGCAAAUAGGACCAAACAUAUGUGACAUCUUUUGGCAGAACGAGGCUCCUGGAGGGAUUUUGAAAAUGAAGAGGAAGGCUACUUUGCUGAAAUAUAUUUAGCAAAGCUGCCGUGAAGCAAGCGGGAACGAGGUUACGAAGCCAGGGGAGUGUUACUAACGAGGCUCGCGCAGGCUUUUUUAUAAACGCAGCUAUCAACUUGCAUCCAGCCAUGCCUUUCAAAACGGAAGAAGCAUCUUUUGUGGACUAAAAUGCUCCAAAUGUCACAGAAAAACAGUUUUGUCCUUCAAGAGUUUCACAAGACGUUUGUGAUAUCUCAUGUAGGUCCUGUCGGGGCUUCUUUAGCACAAAGAAAGCCACCCUAGUCGCUGGAGCAAUAGCCAAGAGGAUACAUCGUGCAUCCAUGCAAUGCCUAAUGAAAUCUUUUGUGUAUGGGUGGAAAAGGGUUUGAGACGAUGCACACAUCCUCUUCAUCUUUCUGGAUGGUGCUUAGGAAAAACUACAGAGGGGUCCCUCUUCUGCUGCUGCUGCUGGGGAACAGAGGAGACGAAGAAGAAGAAGAAGAAGAAGAAGAAGAAGAAGAAGAAGAAGAAGAAGAAGAAGUUCUUAGAUGGAAAGCACUCCAUUGGUUUCAACAAAAGAAAGCCAAUGCUCAAAGUGCACCAAGCUGCGUUGGCAUCAGAGGCGUUUUUAAUCACACAGAACCGCGCAAAUGUACACACUAUCCAACGUGUUUUCUAGGAAGAUCGUUUAGUGCGUUCUACCAGAAGAGAAUUAAGUGAGAUUAGUUUGGGGAAACAAAGUAUGACUCAUAGUUGUCUGUUCGACAUUCGUUUUCUUGCCUUUAUUAAAAAGAGGAAUGCCUCACAAUUAGAAUAAAUAAAUAAGAACAUUAUGAAUAAUUCAUUGCCAUGAAAC
ensembl:lncRNA